ACUAUUAAAUCUGUGAUAAACUACCUCUCAUAUAAUGGUUCAACCUGUCCUUUUGGCUCCUAUUUAAAACAGAAGCUUCAGCUAUUGUAUUCAAUGGAGGAUGCAACCUCUGGAGGUGCGUAUUGUGUGUCUCCCAGAUCAGCCUAUUGAUCAGAAGCUUUCAAGGUUCCUAAGACCCUACAUUGCAGUUCAUCUCCGGACAUAUUUUGCAGUUCAUCUUCGGACAUAUUAAGGUGAAGUCCAUAAAAAACAGCAAAAUAUUUGAAGGAGGGAAUGAAGAAGACAAAAUAUGGAUACAAAAUUAGAUUUCCUCUUAAAGUUGAAGACCCAUUACCAUUUUGAAACAGCUGAUUUCAAGAUCAUCAAGUUUACCUUUACUGGUCAUAUUCACUAUAUGUAGUCUUUGUAAAAAAAGAUGAAAGAAAUUACUUGAACUGGUUGUAAAACUUUAGUUCUGAAGUCUAUGUACUUUUGUUAAAAGACUUGUUAAAAGAGUAGUCCAAGGUAGCUACUACUGUUUCUGAAUUAAAAAGUUGAUUCAGGUGGUAAAGCAGAAUUCUUAGAAGACUUGAGUUUGUCUCAAUUCUUUAGAUUUUAGGCAAAUGAAUAAAACUUAAACAGAAGGCA
ensembl:lncRNA